UGGUAUUCAAGACAGAGGACCUGAUAGC
rnacentral:piRNA from 1 species